AUGCGAGACCCGCGGGGUAAGCCGCACAGAGCCGUGAAGAGACGCGGCAAGGCCGGCGGCCAGGGCGCCCCAUGCCAGGCCCGGGUCCACGGGCGGUGGUACCUGGAGCCAAGAAGCAGAGGGGCGCAGAUGCUGCGAGAAAAACUGUGGGUGCCCUGGAACGGGCUCAUUGUGAUCGGGAAGAGAAUGGAGCUCCUGGGUAGAAAUACACAAAAGCCCAGAAUGUGGGACCCAAAGCUUGACUCUGAGGACUGGGGUCUGGAAGAUGUGGAAAAGACGGUCUUGAAAGCGAAGUUAGGCCAGAAUCAGGAAAGGAUGGAUGUGAAGCUACUGCACAGUGUAGCAAGUGCAUUACAGGCUUCAGCAGGUUUGCGGAAAAGUACCGCAAAGGAGUUGUGGGGAAAGGAAGACGUUAGAGGCAAAAUAGACGAUGAAUCUGAGAUAGCAGGGACUACCGAAGGGUCUAGGAGGGGGUCUGGGUUUAAAGAGAAGUUGAAGUUUACUGGGGUGGGGACCAAAGGAGGGGACUUGAGAUCCAGACCACAUACACUCCCACAGAAUGAGGAGAUGCUGAGGUCCAGUGGAGAGAAGCUGAGUCGAGAGAAGCUGAGGUCAAGUGGAGAGAAGCUGAGGUCAAGUGGAGAGAUGCUGAGGUCAAGUGGAGAGAAGCUUAGGUCAAGUGGAGAGAAGCUGAGGUCAAGUAGAGAGAAGCUGAGGUCAAGUGGAGAGAAGCUGAGGUCAAGUGGAGAGAUGCUGAGGUCAAGUGGAGAGAAGCUUAGGUCAAGUGGAGAGAAGCUGAGGUCAAGUAGAGAGAAGCUGAGGUCAAGUGGAGAGAAACUGAGGUCAAAUGGAGAGAAGCUGAGUGGAGAGAAGCUGAGAUCAAGUGGUGAGAAGCUGAGUCUGAGUGAAGAGAUCCUGAGGUCAAGUGGAGAGAAGCAGGGAUCCAGGGGAGAGAAGCUGGAAAGUAGUGGAAACGAUUUGAGAUCCACUGGAGAUCAACUGCAGUCAAGUGUGGAGAAGCUGGAGGAUUCAGGGAUGGGAAGCAUAAAUGAAGAGACAGAUGAGAGAGUAGUAGAAGUUGCUGGUGAUGAAAAAUUGAUUAAAGUUACUGAUGCAGAGAUGGAAAUUCCUUUGGAAAGGGUGGAAGGGAGUGAUGAAGAGCUAGAAGGGACCAAGGGGGCAGUGGUGGUUGAGGAGGAUGUCUUGGGUGGAGUGAAUGAUACAGCUGAUGAAUCUGUUUCUAUGGAAGAGAGAGAGGUUAUAGAUGAAGGUGAUAGUGAAUGA
rnacentral:lncRNA from 1 species